UCUGGGACCUGUUGGAUCGGAGGCAAGUGGAACAAAAGACUGAGGGGAAGGAGACGGCACACAGACUCACCCAAGAUCCCAACGGAGCAGAGACGUCAGCACUAUUGACACAGACUCAUCCAAGAUCCCAACGGAGCAGAGAGGUCAGCACUAUUGACACAGACUCACCCAAGAUCCCAACGGAGCAGAGAGGUCAGCACUAUUGACACAGACUCAUCCAAGAUCCCAACGGAGCAGAGAGGUCAGCACUAUUGACACUGACUCAUCCAAGAUCCCAACGGAGCAGAGAGAUCAGCUCUAUUGACACUGACUCAUCCAAGAUCCCAACGGAGCAGAGAGGUCAGCUCUAUUGACACUGACUCAUCCAAGAUCCCAACGGAGCAGAGAGGUCAGCACUAUUGACACUGCGGCUCCUCUAAUGCGCUGAGCUAAAGCUGACCUCCACUGAUUUCACUUUGCUAUUCUUAGAGUUGCUGCAUUGUCCUCAAUUCACACAGAGGAAAGUACAAGUGAGAUAAAGGAAUCGUGCCCAUCCUCUUGAGGAUGGUUUCUUAAACCAUGAGUGGACCCAAAGUGGGCCCUGGGCAUCUGACGUGUGUCGCGAGUUACAGGAAUAGUCUAUAAUCACACACUAUUUGUAUAUCUCUUCUUCAUUUAGGUCAUUGAAGAACGAUUAGGGUCACAGGGGGAAGGUCAUUUUGGGUCACAAGUUUAAAAAGUUUAGGAACCCCUGCUCUAGUAUAGUAAUAGUAACCUAUUCGAACAAAUAGUAAAUUGACAGAGGAAGUAGGCCUUAGCCUCUCUCUGCAUCCCCACUCAUAUGGCAUCAUAUCAUAUCCCUUUAAUCAAACACAGGAUACAGUGUCCAAUGCACAUCCAAUGAUCUAAAUAUGCUCAGCAUGAGGACAGGAGCACCAGAACUAUUUUUGUAAUAAAUGAUUCCCUGACAUCCCAGCUGCUGCUAAGCUUUACAGUACUGAAUCAACAAAGAGAUGUCUCCCUGCCACUGCCAGCAUCCUAGUCCACCUUCAUGUGUCCUUCCUCUCCUCUGCUUCUUCCUCCUCCCAUCUCAUUCAGCGUUGCUGCGGUGAUGUCAUCAUUCCCUGCUCCAGCCGAGCCAGAGAUUUUGUCCUGAGCUCUCCAAGAGCUGCAGCAGCCAUCACAUGGGCCUCACCACUGCAUCACUCACCACCCCCCCUCCUGCUGCAGGUAGCUCAGGUUGCUAGGAGACACUUUCCCUGGCUGCCUAGCAACAGAUAAACGUUGUGUUUCUUCCUCUGAUGGAUGAGGCAGGACUGCUUUAACACCUUGACUUUGGCUGCUCACCCACCCUCUGGACAGUGCAGUGGGACUCUGGGCAGCGACGUGGGACUCUGGACAGCGACGUGGGACCCUGGACAGUGCAGUGGGACUCUGGGCAGCGACGUGGGACUCUGGACAGUGCAGUGGGACUCUGGGCAGCGACGUGGGACUCUGGGCAGCGACGUGGGACUCUGGGCAGCGACGUGGGACUCUGGGCAGCGACGUGGGACUCUGGGCAGCGACGUGCGACUCUGGGCAGCGACGUGGGACUCUGGACAGCGACGUGGGACCCUGGACAGUGCAGUGGGACUCUGGGCAGCGACGUGGGACUCUGAACAGUGCAGUGGGACUCUGGGCAGCGACGUGGGACUCUGGGCAGCGACGUGCGACUCUGGGCAGCGACGUGCGACUCUGGGCAGCGACGUGCGACUCUGGGCAGCGACGUGCGACUCUGGG
ensembl:lncRNA